rnacentral:lncRNA from 1 species
UGAACAUGCUCAGCAGAACGGCCUGGACGUCACGCAGCGUGACACUUGUGUCGGCAAGGCUUCACGAAGGUGUCAUAAACCACGUGCACGUCCGUGUCGACCACCGUGACGCGCGUCAGCUCCAGGCCAUAUGUGGUGUAGGACUGCGGGCAAGGGAUGCACCUCAGAUGUGUCCCAGGCACCGGCCUCCCUCCCUCCCCUUCCCUGCCCCUU